rnacentral:rRNA from 1 species
CAGCCGUAAACAAUGUGCGUUAGGUGUGUCGGUAACCACGCGUUACUGAUGCGCCGAAGAGAAAUCGUGAAACGCACCGCCUGGGAAGUACGGUCGCAAGGCUGAAACUUAAAGGAAUUGGCGGGGGAGCACCACAACAGGUGGAGCCUGCGGUUUAAUUGGAUUCAACGCCGGACAUCUCACCGGAUAAGACAGCUGAAUGAUUGUCAAUCUGAAGGUUUUACAUGACUAGCUGAGAGGUGGUGCAUGGCGUCAGUGACUU